AGAGUUUGAUCAUGGCUCAGGAUGGACGCUGGCGGCGUGCUUUACACAUGCAAGUCGAGCGAUCUUCUUCGGAAGAGAGCGGCGGACGGGUGAGUAACGCGUGGGUAACCUGCUUCAUACACAUGGAUAACAUACCGAAAGGUAUGCUAAUACAAGAUGAUAUAAGAGAUUUGCAUGGAUUUCUUAUCAAAGCUCCGGCGGUAUGAGAUGGACCCGCGUCUGAUUAGCUAGUUGGUAAGGUAACGGCUUACCAAGGCGACGAUCAGUAGCCGACCUGAGAGGGUGAUCGGCCACAUUGGAACUGAGACACGGUCCAAACUCCUACGGGAGGCAGCAGUGGGGAAUAUUGCACAAUGGGCGAAAGCCUGAUGCAGCAACGCCGCGUGAGCGAUGAAGGCCUUCGGGUCGUAAAGCUCUGUCCUCAAGGAAGAUAAUGACGGUACUUGAGGAGGAAGCCCCGGCUAACUACGUGCCAGCAGCCGCGGUAAUACGUAGGGGGCUAGCGUUAUCCGGAUUUACUGGGCGUAAAGGGUGCGUAGGUGGUUUCUUAAGUCAGGAGUGAAAGGCUACGGCUUAACCGUAGUAAGCUCUUGAAACUGGGAAACUUGAGUGCAGGAGAGGAAAGUGGAAUUCCUAGUGUAGCGGUGAAAUGCGUAGAUAUUAGGAGGAACACCAGUAGCGAAGGCGGCUUUCUGGACUGUAACUGACACUGAGGCACGAAAGCGUGGGGAGCAAACAGGAUUAGAUACCCUGGUAGUCCACGCCGUAAACGAUGAGUACUAGGUGUCGGGGGUUACCCCCCU
rnacentral:rRNA from 1 species